rnacentral:rRNA from 1 species
UAAUACGUAGGGUGCGAGCGUUAAUCGGAAUUACUGGGCGUAAAGCGUGCGCAGGCGGUUCGUUAAGUUUGCGGUGAAAGCCCCGGGCUCAACCUGGGAAUGGCCGUGGAAACUGGCGGGCUGGAGUGCGGCAGAGGGGGGUGGAAUUCCGCGUGUAGCAGUGAAAUGCGUAGAGAUGCGGAGGAACACCGAUGGCGAAGGCAGCCCCCUGGGCCGACACUGACGCUCAGGCACGAAAGCGUGGGGAGCAAACAGGAUUAGAUACCCUGGUAGUCCACGCCCUAAACGAUGCUCACUAGGUGUUGGGGAAGCGAUUCCUUGGUACCGUAGCUAACGCGUGAAGUGAGCCGCCUGGGGAGUACGGCCGCAAGGUUAAAACUCAAAGGAAUUGACGG